ensembl:rRNA 5S_rRNA 5S ribosomal RNA
ACUUACGACCAUACCGGCCUGAGUACGCCUGAUCUCGUCUGAUCUCAGAACCUAAGCAGGGUCGGGCCUGGUUAGUACUUGGAUGGGAGACCGCCUGGGAAUACCAGGUGCUGUAAGCU